UUUUAAAAUUAUAUAUAUAUAUAUAUAUAUAUAUAUAUAUAUAUAGAGAGAGAGAGAGAGAGAGAGAGAGAGAGAGAGAGAGAGACUGGUAUACUAUCGAUAGCACGGAGGCCUCCGUACUACCAAAUUAUUUUCAAUGAUGCAGCUUCCAAAUCGACGAUCAACUCCGUUAUACUUGAUUUAUACUAUUGAAAGUAUUUGGAAACAAAAUUUAAUAAUUUUCGGUAUCAUUUACCUAUCAAAUAAAUAGUCUAAAAAUGAACGGCUGGAAAUAAAAAUCUCAUAAAAAAUAAUUAUAAAAGAAUUAAAUUUAAGAUCAGAGAUACUGAUCUUACUUUAAAUAGUAAAAAUAAUUUUCUAUAAAAAUUUCAUCAGAUUUAGAUUGUUUUACACCGUUAAAUUGACAAACGCAUCACAUCUAUCAUUAAAAUUAUUAAUUUUGAGACCUUUGAUCACUAGCCAAAUGAUGUCGAAAAAUUAUGAAAUUUAGUUUCCAAAUACUUUUAAUAGUGUAGAUUAAGUCUAACGGAGCUGAUCGUCGAUUUGGAAUUAUAGAGCUAGGUUGGUAUACUAUCGGUAGCAUGGAGGCCUCUGUGCUACCAAGUUGUUUUCAAUGAUGCGGUUUCCAAAUCGACGAUCGACUCCGUUAAACUUAAUUUAUACUAUUGAAAGUAUUUGGAAACAAAAUUUAAUAAUUUUUCGGUAUCAUUUACCUAUCAAACGAGUAGUCUAAAAAUAAACGACUGAAAAUAAAAAUCUCAUAAAAAAUAAUGAUAAAAGACUUGAAUUUAAAUCAGAGUUACUGAUCUUACUUUAAAUAGUAAAAAUAAUUUUCAAUAAACCUUUGAUCACUAGCCAAAUAAUGUCGAAAAAUUAAGAAAUUUAGUUUCCAAAUACUUUUAAUAGUGUAGAUUAAGUCUAACGGAGCCGAUCGUUGAUUUAUAAGCCGCAUCAUUGAAAACAACUUGGUAGCACGAAGGCCUCUGUGCUACCGAUAGUAUACCAGCCUAACUCUAUAUAUAUAUAUAUAGUAGGUCUUGUGUGCUAUUAGGAGCACGGAGACCUCCGUGCUCCUAAGCUAUUUUCGAUGAUAGAGUUUCCGAAUCGACGAUCAGCUCCGUUAGACUUGAUAUAGCGUAUUUGAACUAUGUAGAAAAUAUUUUUUGUGAUUUUUCGGUAUCAUUUUCAUAGCGAUCGAAAGAGUUCAAAAUCAACAAUUUUUAAUGAUUGAUGUAUAUCAUUUGCAAGUUUAACGGUGUAGAAAUAUUCAAAUCAAGACAAUUUUGAUAGAAAUUCUUUAUACUAUUUACAGCAAGAUCAAUAUGUUUGAUUGAAAAUUUUAAUGCUAUAUCACAACUUUUUGGGAGAUUUUUAUUUUCAGCCGUUAAUUUUGAUCCUUUUCGAUCGUUA
rnacentral:lncRNA from 1 species